AUCGCUUUGUGAUAUUGAGUUGGUUUCUGCCAUACAUCAAUAUGAAUCAGCCAUAGGUUACUGGGAAUUCCAGAAACAUACCUUGAGCUCUCAGACCUCUGGAGUGUAUUUCUUGCCUUUCCUUGCCUGACAUGCUCUCCAAUGCAUGCCAGUGACCACCUGGAAAACCUUUAUCAUCCUUCCAGGGAACCCACCCAAACCUCUGUCACCCAGUCGGAUGGGGAAGAAAGAAAGAAAAGUGCUCGCCCAGGUUUCCACUUAUAUCCCAUUAACCAAAUAUUGGUAACAUGGCCAAUCUCUAGUUGCAAGGGACAUUGAAAAAUGUAGUCUUCAGUGGAGCACCUAUGUGCCUAGCUAAAUGUAAAACGAUUCCUUUA